rnacentral:rRNA from 1 species
AGCGAACGCUGGCGGCAGGCCUAACACAUGCAAGUCGAACGGAUCCUUCGGGAUUAGUGGCGGACGGGUGAGUAACACGUGGGAACGUGCCCUUUGGUUCGGAACAACUCAGGGAAACUUGAGCUAAUACCGGAUGUGCCCUUCGGGGGAAAGAUUUAUCGCCAUUGGAGCGGCCCGCGUAUGAUUAGCUAGUUGGUGGGGUAAAGGCCCACCAAGGCGACGAUCAGUAGCUGGUCUGAGAGGAUGAUCAGCCACAUUGGGACUGAGACACGGCCCAAACUCCUACGGGAGGCAGCAGUGGGGAAUCUUGCGCAAUGGGCGAAAGCCUGACGCAGCCAUGCCGCGUGAAUGAUGAAGGUCUUAGGAUUGUAAAAUUCUUUCACCGGGGACGAUAAUGACGGUACCCGGAGAAGAAGCCCCGGCUAACUUCGUGCCAACAGCCGCAGUAAUAC